rnacentral:lncRNA from 1 species
AUAACCUGUAAUCUACGUCUUAUAAAUAUCGAUGGAAGUAUUAUCAUCUUUGGAUCUUCCGGCGAUUUCGCUCAGUAAUGAUUAUGUCAUCUUGUCUUCGCUCUUCGAGAAGACGAGUCGACUUUUUUGCUAUCCGUAAACGAAGACAACGCCUGAAGAAUAAUAAAUGAAUAUGGUGACAGUGGAUCAAAAGGGCUUGGAAUAUGGAAAAGCAGAGUCCCACUCAUAUGUUAUUCUCUUGGGAUUGGAAAAGAUCCAUUUGUGGAAAGAGCUGUCACAAAGAAACAAAGAAUAAGAAUUGGAAACUUGGACUCUCCACAACCUCCUCUUGUACUUGAAAGGUGCAAUUUUUGUGAUGUUCUGUCUUUUGCUCGGUGGCUCAUUUCUCGGUUGUCAACGUUUAGGAGCACCGUACUGUCUACAAUAAUCCUCGAGAUUAUCCAACAAAUGAAUGAGACUAAAGUUCAACUUGGUCAUACUGAAACAGCCAAGGUCUACAGUGGUGUUGUCUUUUGUGAACUAUAUAUUCUUGAUUUGCUGUUUUUGUCUUCACUUUGCAACAUCAUGAAGUUAAUUUUCAACUGAUAAAUGAGAGCAACAGAAGAUUUAUUGAAACAACAUUCUGUGCUGUGGUAUUCCUUCUGGAUUUAGUCUGCAUUUCACACCUGCAAACUUUGGAUUGUUACAGUCUACAAUUAAUUAAGAUCGACGUUGGAGAAGACAGAGAUGACCCC